GAUGAACGCUGGCGGCGUGCCUAAUACAUGCCAGUCGAGCGAACAGAUGAGGAGCUUGCUCCUCUGACGUUAGCGGCGGACGGGUGAGUAACACGUGGAUAACCUACCUAUAAGACUGGGAUAACUUCGGGAAACCGGAGCUAAUACCGGAUAAUAUAUUGAACCGCAUGGUUCAAUAGUGAAAGACGGUCUUGCUGUCACUUAUAGAUGGAUCCGCGCUGCAUUAGCUAGUUGGUAAGGUAACGGCUUACCAAGGCAACGAUGCAUAGCCGACCUGAGAGGGUGAUCGGCCACACUGGAACUGAGACACGGUCCAGACUCCUACGGGAGGCAGCAGUAGGGAAUCUUCCGCAAUGGGCGAAAGCCUGACGGAGCAACGCCGCGUGAGUGAUGAAGGUCUUCGGAUCGUAAAACUCUGUUAUUAGGGAAGAACAAAUGUGUAAGUAACUGUGCACAUCUUGACGGUACCUAAUCAGAAAGCCACGGCUAACUACGUG
rnacentral:rRNA from 1 species